GAUCAUGGCUCAGGAUGAACGCUGGCGGCGUGCUUAACACAUGCAAGUCGAACGAGGCAACUAUCUUGCUUGCAAGAGAGUUGACUUAGUGGCGGACGGGUGAGUAACGCGUGGGUAACCUGCCUCAUACAGGGGGAUAACAGUUGGAAACGACUGCUAAGACCGCAUAACCCGCUAGUGUCGCAUAACACGGACGGAAAAUAUUUAUAGGUAUGAGAUGGGCCCGCGUCUGAUUAGCUAGUUGGUAAGGUAACGGCUUACCAAGGCGACGAUCAGUAGCCGACUUGAGAGAGUGAUCGGCCACAUUGGGACUGAGACACGGCCCAAACUCCUACGGGAGGCAGCAGUGGGGAAUAUUGGACAAUGGGGGAAACCCUGAUCCAGCCGACGCCGCGUGAGUGAAGAAGUAUUUCGGUAUGUAAAGCUCUAUCAGCAGGGAAGAUAAUGACAGUACCUGACUAAGAAGCCCCGGCUAACUACGUGCCAGCCGCCGC
rnacentral:rRNA from 1 species